AGAGUUUGAUCCUGGCUCAGGACGAACGCUGGCGGCGUGCUUAACACAUGCAAGUCGAACGGAAAGGCCCUUCGGGGUACUCGAGUGGCGAACGGGUGAGUAACACGUGGGUGAUCUGCCCUGCACUCUGGGAUAAGCCUGGGAAACUGGGUCUAAUACCGGAUAGGACCACACACUUCAUGGUGAGUGGUGCAAAGCUUUUGCGGUGUGGGAUGAGCCCGCGGCCUAUCAGCUUGUUGGUGGGGUAAUGGCCCACCAAGGCGACGACGGGUAGCCGGCCUGAGAGGGUGACCGGCCACACUGGGACUGAGAUACGGCCCAGACUCCUACGGGAGGCAGCAGAGGGGAAUAUUGCACAAUGGGCGCAAGCCUGAUGCAGCGACGCCGCGUGAGGGAUGACGGCCUUCGGGUUGUAAACCUCUUUCAGCACAGACGAAGCGCAAGUGACGGUAUGUGCAGAAGAAGGACCGGCCAACUACGUGCCAGCAGCCGCGGUAAUACGUAGGGUCCGAGCGUUGUCCGGAAUUACUGGGCGUAAAGAGCUCGUAGGUGGUUUGUCGCGUUGUUCGUGAAAACUCACAGCUUAACUGUGGGCGUGCGGGCGAUACGGGCAGACUUGAGUACUGCAGGGGAGACUGGAAUUCCUGGUGUAGCGGUGGAAUGCGCAGAUAUCAGGAGGAACACCGGUGGCGAAGGCGGGUCUCUGGGCAGUAACUGACGCUGAGGAGCGAAAGCGUGGGGAGCGAACAGGAUUAGAUACCCUGGUAGUCC
rnacentral:rRNA from 1 species